rnacentral:ncRNA from 1 species
UGUAGGUAGAGGUGCGGACUUUAUCAGUAGCAGAUUGGACAUAUUCAGGUAUGGAAGAAGAUUUGUGAAAGGAACGUUCGCCGAAGAGGAAGAUAGCCUGUUCUUUGUUCUUCUGGGCGCAUAGUGAACAACUAUGUGACUGUCAUCUUAUGAUGGAGUGCUACU